AACGCACAUUGCGCCCUCUGGUAUUCCGGGGGGCAUGCCUGUCCGAGCGUCAUUUCAAAACUCAAGCUAGGCUUGGUGUUGGGUGCCGUCCCCCGGGGCGCGCCCGGAAAUUAGCGGCGGUGCGACCGGUGAUCGAGCGUAGUAAUUAUUCCCGCUUCGAGACACCCCGGGCGUGCCAGCCGGACAACCUCUAUUCAACCCAUGGUUGACCUCGGAUCAGGUAGGGAUACCCGCUGAACUUAA
rnacentral:misc_RNA from 1 species